rnacentral:rRNA from 1 species
UACAGAGGUCCCGAGCGUUGUUCGGAUUCACUGGGCGUAAAGGGUGCGUAGGUGGUGAGGUAAGUCGGAUGUGAAAUCUCCGAGCUCAACUCGGAAAUGGCAUUGGAAACUACCUUGCUCGAGGGUUGGAGGGGGGACUGGAAUGCUUGGUGUAGCAGUGAAAUGCGUAGAUAUCAAGCGGAACACCCGUGGCGAAGGCGGCUCUCUGGGACGGUACUGACGCUGAGACGCGAAAGCGUGGGGAGCAAACAGG